rnacentral:rRNA from 1 species
UUCCGUAGGUGAACCUGCGGAAGGAUCAUUACCGAGUGCGGGCCCUCUGGGUCCAACCUCCCAUCCGUGUCUAUUCAUACCCUGUUGCUUCGGCGGGCCCGCCGGCUGCCCCUCCUGGGGAUGCCGGCCGCCGGGGGGCUAACCUGCCCCCGGGCCCGUGCCCGCCGGGGACACCAACACUGAACACUGUCUGAAGGUUGCAGUCUGAGUUUUCAUAAAGGAAAAUUGUUAAAACUUUCAACAACGGAUCUCUUGGUUCCGGCAUCGAUGAAGAACGCAGCGAAAUGCGAUACGUAAUGUGAAUUGCAGAAUUCAGUGAAUCAUCGAAUCUUUGAACGCACAUUGCGCCCUCUGGUAUUCCGGGGGGCAUGCCUGUCCGAGCGUCAUUGCUGCCCUCAAGCACGGCUUGUGUGUUGGGCCCCCGUCCCGGCGAAGCAUCAGCCCCGGGACGGGCCCGAAAGGCAGCGGCGGCACCGUGUCCGGUCCUCGAGCGUAUGGGGCUCUGUCACCCGCUCGUGUAGGUCCGGCCGGCGGCCAGCCCGACCCUUUAACCAAUCUUUUAACCAGGUUGACCUCGGAUCAGGUAGGGAUACC